rnacentral:rRNA from 1 species
CACCGGCGGCCCGAGUGGUGAUCGUGAUUAUUGGGUCUAAAGGGUCCGUAGCCGGUUUGGUCAGUCCUCCGGGAAAUCUGAUAGCUCAACUAUUAGGCUUUCGGGGGAUACUGCCAGGCUUGGAACCGGGAGAGGUAAGAGGUACUACAGGGGUAGGAGUGAAAUCUUGUAAUCCCUGUGGGACCACCUGUGGCGAAGGCGUCUUACCAGAACGGGUUCGACGGUGAGGGACGAAAGCUGGGGGCACGAACCGGAUUAGAUACCCGGGUAGUCCCAGCCGUAAACGAUGCUCGCUAGGUGUCAGGCAUGGCGCGACCGUGUCUGGUGCCGCAGGGAAGCCGUGAAGCGAGCCACCUGGGAAGUACGGCCGCAAGGCUGAAACUUAAAGGAAUUGGCGGGGGAGCACAACAACGGGUGGAGCCUGCGGUUUAAUUGGACUCAACGCCGGACAACUCACCGGGGGCGACAGCAAUAUGUAGGCCAAGCUGAAGACUUUGCCUGAAUCGCUGAGAGGAGGUGCAUGGCCGUCGCCAGUUCGUACUGUGAAGCAUCCUGUUAAGUCAGGCAACGAGCGAGACCCGUGCCCACUGUUACCAGCAUGUCCUCCGGGACGAUGGGUACUCUGUGGGGACCGCCGGUGUUAAAUCGGAGGAAGGUGCGGGCCACGGUAGGUCAGUAUGCCCCGAAUCUCCCGGGCUACACGCGGGCUACAAUGGAUGGGACAAUGGGUCCCUACCCCGAAAGGGGCUGGUAAUCUCACAAACCCAUUCGUAGUUCGGAUCGAGGGCUGUAACUCGCCCUCGUGAAGCUGGAAUCCGUAGUAAUCGCGUUUCAAUAUAGCGCGGUGAAUACGUCCCUGCUCCU